GAUCUCAGGAGCCUACUAGAGUUGCCACGGAACUUGUGCUUGAACUGAAGACCAGAAAUGCAAAAGAAAAUCAGUCAAGCCAGUCCUAAAGAAAUGAGGAGUGAACAUGGACUUCUUGUGCCCCAAAAGAAAAGACAGAGAGCUCCUAGAAUGAGCAAAUCAGCUGUGCAUCAUCUCUGUGUGUU